rnacentral:snoRNA from 3 species
GGCCGGUGACGAUUGAUAUUUGGUCUCGUUCGUUGUUUCUGCAUCCGGUUUGAGGCCAUCCCGCUGAAUCACCACCCAUAUUCUGAGUCU